rnacentral:misc_RNA from 1 species
GCAAACUUGGUCAUUUAGAGGAAGUAAAAGUCGUAACAAGGUCUCCGUUGGUGAACCAGCGGAGGGAUCAUUACAAAACAGAGAGAAAUCUCUAUAACCCUUUGUGAACAUUACCUUUUGUCAGUUGCUUCGGCGGAAGGCUUCCUCCUCUCGGAGGCGGCCCCGGGGCGCCGGCCUUAGCCGGAUGCUUCCGCCGGAGGGACACCAACCAAACUCUUGUUGUAAUCUUACAGUGGUAUCUCCGAGUUAAAAAUAAAAAACAAGUUAAAACUUUCAACAACGGAUCUCUUGGUUCUGGCAUCGAUGAAGAACGCAGC